AUCUAUCCCUGGCAUGCGUCUCCAGCUGGGAUGUCAGCACAGAGCCCUGGGAGCUGCCGACUUCCCGCGCUGCCGGCUCCGAGGCUGGAGCAGAAGCGUGGCAUUGUUGCACUUGGCAGAGUUUAUCCUCACCCCCAGGAAGGAUGGAGGCACGUCACUGGGCUCUGAUGGUGUGUGACGCACCUAUGUGUAGCUGGAGAUGGAUGGCAGCAUGGCUUUGGAGGAGUUAUCCUGGUCCUUGCUGGUGUAAUCAGGAGAGCGUGGCCUGGAGAAACUGCCAUGGUGGGUUAGAUCAGCUGAGCUGGUCUCACCCCAGCACGUGGUUGCAAAGCAAGGCAGGAGAGCAGAGAGAGGACCAGCAGCCUUGUGCAAGACCAUCAGUGCUGGAAAGUUGGACCUGCAGAAAUUAAUUAAAAUAAGAGCAGUGGGAACAGAAGCUGAGAGCUACAGUGAUGGAUGUUCACGAAACACUUGCCCAGAAUGCCCUGGACAUUCGGUGAUGUUUGCUUCCAGCCAAGGAGCUGUGCAGUACUUAAACACACUCAAAGCAGUUGUGAUUAGGGAAUCAGCCUCUGAUAUCUGGGUGUGGGUCCACUGCACCCAGAGCUGAUGCCCUCUCUCCACUGGGAUUUGCACCUUGGAGCUGCCAGCGCUGGUUUGUCAUGGAUUGCAUCCCCUGGCUGCAAAGGGAGUUUUAUGUUCUCUAAAUCCUAAACCUUAGGUUGUGUAUUAAUAGCAUGGUAAUGCAUCACUUUUGUGUCCAGCACAAGCCAGGGGUUAUAUAAAACACAGAUUAAUGGGAAUCAGCAAAAUAGAGGAGCA